ACCCCAAAUGGCUUUGACCCUGGCCUUAUUUGUUGUAUUCUGCCCAGCAGCUCAUUGAAAGGAGGCAUUCGAGAUCUGGAGGAUGACAGCACUUCUGUUUCCUUGGGGAAAUUAUGCACCAGGAUUCUGAGGAGGUCAGUGUUAUGCCAUCCCCACCUGGCCGGCUGGCACUCACCUGCUAGGUGAUCAGAACUGAUUUCGAAGAAUGACCUUCAGCACAAAUGAGAUGCUUCCCCAGCAAACUGCCCACAUUGCCUGGCAGCGAUUGUCUAAUAAAGUUAGAACCAGUGACAUUUCUUCUGAUGAAAUUAAUGACGGCUUGUUAGACUGAACCUGCACAUCUUCUGAAGUUUGAAGCACAAUUCUAGAAAGGAUAAUAGUUUCUAAUAUGUCAGCUCCAUCCUGCUGAGUGUUCCAUCAACACCCUUAACCCAGUUAUCUGCAAGGGCUUUGACCCCAGACGGGGAGUCUCAGAUGGAAGCCAGGACAUUGCUUCAG